UUUUCGAUAUAUUCAAGUAAACGAGUAUUACAAACUUUUCCGUACACGAGAUUUACGAUCUCAAAUUAAAUGAGAAGUUUAAUGUAGUAGAUAUUACCAAAAACUGUCAUAUAAAUUCAGCUUGCGGUUAUGUAAAUUGUAAAUUGUAGUUGCAUCUUGCUAUUUUUUUGAAAAUAAACUAUACAAAACCGUUUUCGAAUAAAUAGCAGUUUUACAACACAUUAAAAAACUGAAAUCUAGCUAGGAGAAUAUUCCUACUUUUAAUUAAAGGGUAUUUACCGACUCUCAUAAUCAUUGCUUACUUAUUAUUAGAGUUUCAUUUUCUGAUAUCAACUUUAAAAUUGUUUAUCGUUUUAUGUAGCUACAUUGUUACUAUCUUUGUCAUCAUAAUAAACCUUAUGAUCUCAAAACUGACGCAAUAAAAUGAAGCACGCCUAUAUAAUUAGAUGAAUAGGGAAUAUAAGCAAUUUUGAAUAUACAGAUAACAAUACCCUUAGGAUUAAUUAGAUAUUUAUAUUUAGAACUUGAUAAAAUAAAUAAACAAUCGUGAAUUUCAAAACUUGAUCUUUAAGACAAAUUUUUAACAAAAAGUGUUGUUAUAUGUAAUAGUAGAAGACGUGAUGCUCAUUUUGAAAAUUUGGUCAAAGACUGUCUAAAAAUCUGUCCAAAAACUUUCUGCGUUAGGCACAGUUUAUGGAUGCAUCAAUUUUACCGAUUGUCUCCAUUCCAAAAUGCAAACACAUCCACACCCAAAUCAAUGUCACAGAACAAGCGACAUCGGUUACUAAUUAAGAGACAUGUUUACCUAUCAAAUUUACAUUGGUACGUGUGCAUAUUGUAUAAACGAUUAUAUUGUGUACAACUAGUGAGGGAUUCGUGUAGAUGACAAUUGAUGCUGAUGAAGAGAGAUAUAUUGAACAUUAGACCAAGAAAACUGCAAGUUAAGAUAACGGUUUUCAAAGAAGUUUUACACUAAAAUUCCUAUUUUGAAUUAUUAUUUGUUAAUAUUGAACAGUCGUAUGUAUUUACCACUAAUAUUUUUAUUAGUGGUUAUUGUAAUUGUUACUAUCUGUGCUGUUAAUUACAUGUAAUUUACGGUAUAAUUUUAUUAAUUUCAUUUUUAAUAUUACCGCAAAUGAAUUUUUAUACGUUUGCUUUUUGUUCUGUUCAUUCUUCUAUUGUGUGAAAGGUAAGGAAGGUCACGGCUUAGAAUAUAAACCACGUCUUGAUAUCACGUCAACUAUUUUGAAGCAAAAAAUAGAGAUAAUAAAUUCAUGUGUCACCAAUAGGACGAUAGUUGUAUUAGAAUUAUAUGAAAACUGAAAUGUACGGUAUAUAUGGUCUAAACAAAAAGAUACUGGAGGUAGACAUAAAUUCAAAAGUUUGUGGCUGUCAAUGACGUAUUCGAAAAUUUUUGAAUAACUUAUUACGAUUUCUUCGAAGUAGAAGUCUUAUUCUUUCUCAUAUAUUAAACAAAUUCUAAAUUGAAAUUCAAUUAAGUCAGUAAAAGCGGAGUUUACAUUAGGUCCUUUAAAUCCUGUUUGACGUAUAUCUCUGGAAAUAUCACUUUUAAGAUUUUCGGAAGAACAUUUUUUUUAAUUUUCUUGUAGGUACUUGUCCUUUGUUUCAAACGAUACUUCAGAUGAUAUAAAUUUGAAAAAUCCUCACAAUUUACUUGCCUAAUCCUUACCGAUAUAAAAGUACUUCUUUAUUUAAAAUGGUCCUAGUUGCUGGUUGUUCGUAUUUGUUUUGUAUUUGUUGAAUUGUUUUCUUUAAAAACUUUUUUAAUAGGUUUCGUACUUACUGAAAACUUAAUUAAAGAAAGGACUAGGAGUUAAUUAAUUAUAUGUUUUCUUAAUUAAUAUUUGUAUCUGAGUAAUAGUGACAAUCUCUUUUAAUAUUUAUUUAUUGGUUGUCCAAAACUUUUUUGCGCUAACCAUAUAAAUUUAUUUGUUUCGUAAAAAGCUAGUGGAAUAUACAUACUAAUAAAUAGUGUUGGCAGUAUAAUUGUUAUUUUUAUUAUCAUCCUGCUACGGACGUUCUCGUGUAAAGCUUUGAUUAGUCGUGUCAGGACACCAUGUUGACGUUGUGUUGUGUGAUUUGUAUCACAAUUGUUAUUUUCGGAACAGUUUAGUCCUUAUCGAAUGCAAUUUUCUAAAGUUUGGAGUGUUUUAUAUGCACAUUUGAGCGUUAAGUGAUAAAAUUGAAUUAAUAUUAAUUGGUGGUUGUAAAAGCGUGAGGAAUGUACCUGAGCUUUCGGGGAAAAUUCCAUCAUAAAAGGGUUUUUGGCAGACAUGGUGGGUUCUCAUGCUAAUGAAAACCUAAGAAUUUGGAUUUAAAAAAGCAAAAAAAAAAAUAGCAUUCAUGAUAACAACGGCAUUUUAUUAUGGAUGCAGACCUCUGAAGAAGUUCUCCACUCGUGGUAGCGAAACGUUAGGAAGCAACUCCAUCACACGACGGUCCUUAGACCCCAAAUCAGAACACCAUCACUUCACUUAUUGGCUGAGAAACACUUUACUAAUUUGUAACUAAUUUUCUGAGGACAUAGUUCGUUCUUUUACUAAUGCAUAGAUAAUGGAAGAAAAUGAGCUUACAAACGUAGAAAAUGGG